GAAAAACCUCAGAAAGGAGGGAAUUGUCCGAAGCUGACCAGUCCUCUGGCUUCAGUCUUUCCAUGACUACAGCCACAUGGAGAAACUGAGGGUGGCUGACACGUCUUCUGGACUAACCUCACCCUGAAAGCUCCGAGCUGGACAAAUUGAAUUGGCCUCAGAGGAACUGGGGUCAAGGGCCUGGCCAGAACAUCAUGUGAAUGUGUUCCAAGGGUUCGCUUCAGUCCUGACUGCUGAGGUCCAGGGUCAGAAGCGUUACCAAGCUGAGGCUGUGGCUUAGCAGCAGAAGGGUUGCCUAGCAUGAUAUAAAGCCCUGAGUUUGACCUCCACUUAUACAACACACAUCCAAGGCCAGAGGCCCUAUAUCCAUGAUCUGUCCUGCUUUUGCCUUCAGUCCCUCCCCACACACAGUGUGCUCUAAG
rnacentral:lncRNA from 1 species